UGGGGAAUCUUGCACAAUGGGGGCAACCCUGAUGCAGCGACGCCGCGUGAGCGAUGAAGCCCUUCGGGGUGUAAAGCUCUUUCGACGGGAACGAUAAUGACGGUACCCGGAGAAGAAGCUGCGGCUAACUACGUGCCAGCAGCCGCGGUAAUACGUAGGCAGCAAGCGUUGUUCGGAGUUACUGGGCGUAAAGAGUGCGUAGGCGGUUGACCAAGUCUGUCGUGAAAUCUCCCGGCUUAACUGGGAGGGUGCGGUGGAAACUGGUUGGCUUGAGAGUGGGAGAGGUAAGCGGAAUUCCUGGUGUAGCGGUGAAAUGCGUAGAUAUCAGGAGGAACACCGGUGGUGUAGACGGCUUACUGGACCACGACUGACGCUGAGGCACGAAAGCGUGGGUAGCAAA
rnacentral:rRNA from 1 species